rnacentral:antisense_RNA from 1 species
UCACAGCGCUCUUUUGUCAUAGUAAGACAAAUAAGGCCUCGGCCAUAGGUGGCCAUAAAGUUGAUUGCUUCAGGGGUAAUAUGUUCCGCUGCCAUGAUCA